GAUGCACUCUUCUAAAUUUCAACUUCAAAAUGUUUAUCGGUCCGGUUCAAAAAGAGCACUUGCACAUGAUGAUCCUUGGCUGUGGUUGGCCUUGUGGAUCGUUGAGCGGACCCUGUGAUGGCUGCUGUGGAGGUUGCGGUGGCUGUGGUGGUUGUGGUGGCUGCUGUUAAGGCCUUUCCAUAAUUCUAAAAUUUCCUAAAACACCUUUCAUGCAAUUGGAUCGCGACCGAAAACAAUAGCAACCAUUUUUAGUUCCAGAAAUUUUUAAAUUCCGCAGAACAAA